GACGAACGCUGGCGGCGUGCUUAACACAUGCAAGUCGAACGGAAAGGCCCUGCUUUUGUGGGGUGCUCGAGUGGCGACCGGGUGAGUAACACGUGAGUAACCUGCCCUUGCCUUUGGGAUAACUUCAGGCAACUGGGGCUCAUACCGGCUAGGAGCUCUUGCUGCAUGGUGGGGGUUGGAAAGUUUCGGCGGUUGGGGAUGGACUCGCGGCUUAUCAGCUUGGUGGUGGGGUAGUGGCUUACCAAGGCUUUGACGGGUAGCCGGGCUGAGCGGGUGACCGGCCACAUUGGGACUGAGAUGCGGCCCAGACUCGUACGGUAGGCAGCAGUGGGGAAGAGUGCACAAUGGGCGGAGGCCUGAUGCAGCAACGCCGCGUGCGGGAUGACGGCCUUCGGGUUGUAAACCACUUUCGCCUGUGACGAAGCGUGAGUGACGGUAAUGGGUAAAGAAGCACCGGCUAACUACGUG
rnacentral:rRNA from 1 species